CCUCGUCCAUGUGACUUCUGCACAGAAACCAGUAGCUGAAAAUACACACCUCUUCCUCGUUUCAAAAAGAAAUCGCUAAUAAAUUUGCAUGUUUUGGGACAUUUUACCAGGUAAAGACAAAUGGUGAACAAGCUCAGUCGCUUGCUUUGUGGCUUGUGAUGUCAAUACUUGUCUUCAAAAGAUGAGCACAGUGCUAAAAGCUAAUAGCUUAUUUAUCGAAUGAAGCUUCAGGACGAUUACCAAUUCUGAACCAUCUAAUUAAACUCCCAGCUUCAUAUGGCAGAAUGCUAGCAGCCAACAACCAGAAAUCCUAUCAUUUUGAGAUGUUUUCCGAAUAAAAUAGAAUGUUAAGCAACUUCCAAGUAAACUAAAAAGACAAGAGAGCAUGAAAACACCGAACAGAGCUCGCCGUCAAGAGUUCUAGUUGCAUGAAUGUAAGAAAAUUUCCUUGCAACCCUUUCUGAAACAAGGAUCAAAACUAAGAGGUAAUAAGAGCACGCAAAAAGGAUCAAGAGUUCUAGUUGCAUGAAUGUAAGAAAAUUUCCUUGCAACCCUUUCUGAAACAAGGAUCAAAACUAAGAGGUAAUAAGAGCACGCAAAACCAUAUUUAAACAAAAUUAUACCAAUAUGUGCCUUUCGGGUCUUGGUAAAAUUAGUUUUGACAAUUUGGAAGCUAUAAGAAAUACCAUUUUCAUGAUAUUAAGACUUCCAUGAUAGCCGCUAUUUCCUUC
rnacentral:lncRNA from 1 species